rnacentral:rRNA from 1 species
UACGUAGGCAGCAAGCGUUGUUCGGAAUUACUGGGCGUAAAGAGUGUGUAGGCGGUGCUGUAAGUCUGGUGUGAAAUCUCCCGGCUCAACUGGGAGGGUGCGCCGGAAACUGCAGUGCUUGAGGGUGGGAGAGGUAAGCGGAAUUCCUGGUGUAGCGGUGAAAUGCGUAGAUAUCAGGAGGAACACCUGUGGUGUAGACAGCUUACUGGACCACUUCUGGCGCUGAGACACGAAAGCGUGGGUAGCAAACAGG